rnacentral:rRNA from 1 species
AGCGAACGCUGGCGGCAGGCCUAACACAUGCAAGUCGAACGGAUCCUUCGGGAUUAGUGGCGGACGGGUGAGUAACACGUGGGAACGUGCCCUUUGGUUCGGAAUAACUCAGGGAAACCUGAGCUAAUACCGAAUGUGCCCUUCGGGGGAAAGAUUUAUCGCCAUUGGAGCGGCCCGCGUCUGAUUAGCUAGUUGGUAGGGUAAAGGCCUACCAAGGCUACGAUCAGUAGCUGGUCUGAGAGGAUGAUCAGCCACACUGGGACUGAGACACGGCCCAGACUCCUACGGGAGGCAGCAGUGGGGAAUAUUGGACAAUGGGCGCAAGCCUGAUCCAGCCAUGCCGCGUGAGUGAUGAAGGCCCUAGGGUUGUAAAGCUCUUUUGUGCGGGAAGAUAAUGACUGUACCGCAAGAAUAAGCCCCGGCUAACUUCGUGCCAGCCGCCGCCGUAACAC